UCCUUCCGCCCGGGGAGUCUCUGCUCCCUUCUGGUAAAAUCCAUUGCCAAGACUCAGAUCAAGGGUCCCUUUCCCGUGGAUCUGCAAAGGAAAGUAUGCCUCUUCUCCUUGUAGUUUAGUUGGAAUUAAUUUAAAUCGAAGAUUUUUCCCGAGGCCCCCAGCUUCUAUUGAUUUCUCCCUUCUUUGAUUCUUUUCUGCCAUGGACAUCUUAAUUUUAGCUCGUUCUCCCAUCAAAAUCUCACCUGUCGCCCCUUUUAACCAGUGGCCAGGCACACAGGGUAGAGAUCAAUUUCUCUGAGACUGGGAUUGCAACUUUUGAGACCUGGAAACUUCUUCUGAAGCACACGUGUCAGAAUCAGCGGACUCCCAUGAAGAUUGAGACCCAAGAAGCGUGGAUUUUUAAAACAAUACCUGUGUUUGAAUUUCACCUAACAAUAGAUGGCUUAGACUAUGGUUCAAAGAUGGCUCACCCAUUAUGACCCAUUUCAUCUUGGAACUAAAAGCUUGGGAGGUGAUGAUCCUGACUGCAAGCCCAAGUGGAGUCUUCAGGAAUUGGGUCAUACCUGAUAUGCUUUCCGUAUAUGUUGCUUUUUCCUCCAACAAAGAACCAGAGGAUAGAAUGCAGGCUGUUUUCAUUCAUUUGAUGAGGAUACAAUGGAAGGAAGAAAGGAAGGUGGAACAGGAGGGGAAGAGUGAAAAACAUUAACAUAGACUCCACAGCAGCCAGAACU